GGGGACGCGUGGGUUCGACAGGGGAACAUCCUGGAGGAUCGCAGGCCGAGGUGCCAUCCACCUCGUUAAACAGGUGGCAAAACAAUAACUGGCGAUCGUGAACUCGCCCUAGCCGCCUAAACUGGCGGCUCGUCUGCCCCGACUAUACCUGGAGGUUGGGUAACAGGCGCCAUAAAUCCGGGUUGCAGCUUCCUAGACGCCGAUACGGGUAGCUCAAGAAACAUCGGCUGAGGCCUGCCAUGUUAUGCCGGUGAAGCACGGCAGGGCGAGAGUUAAGGACCGGAUAAGCCUGUAGGAUAUCUAGCUGGGUUGCCUUCUGGACGGGGAGUUCGACCCUCCCCCGUCUCCACCA
rnacentral:tmRNA from 1 species